GUCCUGCCAGUAGUCAUAUGCUUGUCUCAAAGAUUAAGCCAUGCAUGUCUCAGUGCAAGCCACAUUAAGGUGAAACCGCGAAUGGCUCAUUAAAUCAGUUAUGGUUCCUUAGUAUCGUACUCCAAUUACUUGGAUAACUGUGGUAAUUCUAGAGCUAAUACAUGCAAACAGAGCUCUGACCAGAAAUGGAAAGAGCGCUUUUAUUAGAUCAAAACCAAUCGGUUGGCUUGUCCGAUCCGUUUGCCUUGGUGACUCUGAAUAACUUUUGGCUGAUCGCACGGUCUCAGUACCGGCGACGCAUCUUUCAAAUGUCUGCCUUAUCAACUUACGAUGGUAGGUUCUGCGCCUACCAUGGUUGUAACGGGUAACGGGGAAUCAGGGUUCGAUUCCGGAGAGGGAGCCUGAGAAACGGCUACCACAUCCAAGGAAGGCAGCAGGCGCGCAAAUUACCCACUCCCGGCACGGGGAGGUAGUGACGAAAAAUAACGAUACGGGACUCAUCCGAGGCCCCGUAAUCGGAAUGAGCACACUUUAAAUCCUUUAACGAGUAUCCAUUGGAGGGCAAGUCUGGUGCCAGCAGC
rnacentral:rRNA from 1 species